UAUGAUUGGGGUGAAGUGUAACAAGGAGCUGUAGGUGAACCUGCAGAAGGAUCA
rnacentral:rRNA from 1 species